rnacentral:misc_RNA from 1 species
AUUUAAUUGACAUGCUAAUAUAAAAUUAAUUUUAUCUUAUAUUUUAAUGAAUAAAUAUUAUUAAAGCUGAAUAAAGAAUAAAAUAUAAAAGAUAUAGACACUUCCAUUAAAUUAAAAACAUAGUACUUUUAUUAAAUAUUUUACUAUAUCUCUUUUUACUUUGAAAUGUUUAAAAAACACUUGCUUCUCAAUUUUGCAUUUUUUCCGUAUAUUUUAAGUUUCAUCUUUUAUUUUAAUAUUUUUUUAUUCUUAUGCCUAGAUAUAAAUCAAAAUUGUGCACCUUCUCAUUUUACGUGUUGUAUUAUAAUUCAUUCCUUGUACUGAGGUUUUAUUUAAAAUAAAUCAUAUAAAAGAAAAAAAUUGAACUGAAUUUUCACAUAAUCAAAUAAUUUUUUGCUCGAUUUUUAUUUUUUAAAAAAUUAAUCCUUUUUAUAAAUUAAAAGAAUUGAAUUUUUUGUUAUUAUGUUUUUAAAUAUGAAAAUUGACAAAGAAAAAAUCAAUUAAAUUGAAUUCUUACAAAAU